rnacentral:SRP_RNA from 1 species
GGGAAGUUGUACCCAGCAGCGGUGAAGGUGACCAAGGCGGAGGAGGACAGGAACACGCAGAGGCGC